GAAGGUAUAGCUCAGUGGUAGAGCAUGUACUUAGCAUGCACAGGAUCCUGGGUUCAAUCCCCAGUAUCGCCA
rfam:Camelus ferus unplaced genomic scaffold scaffold1471, whole genome shotgun sequence.